AGUAAUGCUUGGGAAUCUGGCCUAUGGAGGGGGAUAACGACGGGAAACUGUCGCUAAUACCGCGUAUUAUCGGAAGAUGAAAGUGCGGGACUGAGAGGCCGCAUGCCAUAGGAUGAGCCCAAGUGGGAUUAGGUAGUUGGUGGGGUAAAGGCCUACCAAGCCUGCGAUCUCUAGCUGGUCUGAGAGGAUGACCAGCCACACUGGAACUGAGACACGGUCCAG
rnacentral:rRNA from 1 species